AGAGUUUGAUCCUGGCUCAGAUUGAACGCUGGCGGCAGGCCUAACACAUGCAAGUCGAACGGUAACAGGAAGCAGCUUGCUGCUUCGCUGACGAGUGGCGGACGGGUGAGUAAUGUCUGGGAAACUGCCUGAUGGAGGGGGAUAACUACUGGAAACGGUGGCUAAUACCGCAUAACGUCGCAAGACCAAAGAGGGGGACCUUCGGGCCUCUUGCCAUCAGAUGUGCCCAGAUGGGAUUAGCUUGUUGGUGAGGUAACGGCUCACCAAGGCGACGAUCCCUAGCUGGUCUGAGAGGAUGACCAGCCACACUGGAACUGAGACACGGUCCAGACUCCUACGGGAGGCAGCAGUGGGGAAUAUUGCACAAUGGGCGCAAGCCUGAUGCAGCCAUGCCGCGUGUAUGAAGAAGGCCUUCGGGUUGUAAAGUACUUUCAGCGGGGAGGAAGGUGUUGUGGUUAAUAACCGCAGCAAUUGACGUUACCCGCAGAAGAAGCACCGGCUAACUCCGUGCCAGCAGCCGCGGUAAUACGGAGGGUGCAAGCGUUAAUCGGAAUUACUGGGCGUAAAGCGCACGCAGGCGGUCUGUCAAGUCGGAUGUGAAAUCCCCGGGCUCAACCUGGGAACUGCAUUCGAAACUGGCAGGCUUGAGUCUUGUAGAGGGGGGUAGAAUUCCAGGUGUAGCGGUGAAAUGCGUAGAGAUCUGGAGGAAUACCGGUGGCGAAGGCGGCCCCCUGGACAAAGACUGACGCUCAGGUGCGAAAGCGUGGGGGAGCAAACAGGAUUAGAUACCCUGGUAGUCCACGCCGUAAACGAUGUCUACUUGGAGGUUGUGCCCUUGAGGCGUGGCUUCCGGAGCUAACGCGUUAAGUAGACCGCCUGGGGAGUACGGCCGCAAGGUUAAAACUCAAAUGAAUUGACGGGGGCCCGCACAAGCGGUGGAGCAUGUGGUUUAAUUCGAUGCAACGCGAAGAACCUUACCUGGUCUUGACAUCCACAGAAGAAUCCAGAGAUGGAUUUGUGCCUUCGGGAACUGUGAGACAGGUGCUGCAUGGCUGUCGUCAGCUCGUGUUGUGAAAUGUUGGGUUAAGUCCCGCAACGAGCGCAACCCUUAUCCUUUGUUGCCAGCGGUUAGGCCGGGAACUCAAAGGAGACUGCCAGUGAUAAACUGGAGGAAGGUGGGGAUGACGUCAAGUCAUCAUGGCCCUUACGACCAGGGCUACACACGUGCUACAAUGGCGCAUACAAAGAGAAGCGACCUCGCGAGAGCAAGCGGACCUCAUAAAGUGCGUCGUAGUCCGGAUUGGAGUCUGCAACUCGACUCCAUGAAGUCGGAAUCGCUAGUAAUCGUGGAUCAGAAUGCCACGGUGAAUACGUUCCCGGGCCUUGUACACACCGCCCGUCACACCAUGGGAGUGGGUUGCAAAAGAAGUAGGUAGCUUAACCUUCGGGAGGGCGCUUACCACUUUGUGAUUCAUGACUGGGGUGAAGUCGUAACAAGGUAACC
rnacentral:rRNA from 1 species